UCUGGUGGCGAUGCGCUUAGGGGAAACACCCGUUCCCAUCCCGAACACGACGGUUAAGACCUAAGCGGCCGAUGGUACUGCACUGGAGACGGUGUGGGAGAGCAGGUGGCCGCCAGAU
rnacentral:rRNA from 3 species